AGAGUUUGAUCCUGGCUCAGGAUGAACGCUGGCGGCGUGCUUAACACAUGCAAGUCGAACGGUUUUAUACUGAAUAGUUUACUAUGAGGUAUAAGAUAGUGGCGGACGGGUGAGUAACGCGUGAGGAUCUGUCAUUAACAGGGGGAUAACAGUUGGAAACAGCUGCUAAUACCGCAUACGCGUGGGUAACUGCGUGAAAGGAGCAAUCCGGUUAUUGAGGAACUCGCGUCCUAUCAGCUAGUAGGUGGGGUAAGAGCCUACCUAGGCGAUGACGGGUAGCCGGCCUGAGAGGGCGCACGGCCACACUGGGACUGAGAUACGGCCCAGACUCCUACGGGAGGCAGCAGUGGGGAAUAUUGGGCAAUGGGGGGAACCCUGACCCAGCGACGCCGCGUGAGUGAUGAAGUCUUUCGGGACGUAAAGUUCUGUUGUGUGGGAAGAAGACGAUGACGGUACCACACGAGGAAGCCCCGGCAAACUACGUGCCAGCAGCCGCGGUAAUA
rnacentral:rRNA from 1 species